AUUAAUUAGAAUCUUUUAAUAUUUUUAAAUGCAUAUGAAGUAAUGCAAUGCAUGAAUGCAAAAAAUGCGUCAAUUUUAAUUCAAUUCCAUUUAAGAAAACUUUGCGAGAAAAAUAUUUCUUUACAUAAAGUGAAUUACAAAUAAAGCUUUGCCCUAUUGCUCAGCAUUCUAAUCUUCCUAAGUAACACAGCUAACUCCUGCCCCCG
rnacentral:lncRNA from 1 species